CGACGGAGCUGAGAGGAGCUUGCUUUUCUUAGCUUAGUGGCGAACGGGUGAGUAACGCGUGAGUAACCUGCCCUGGAGUGGGGGACAACAGUUGGAAACGACUGCUAAUACCGCAUAAGCCCACGAUCCGGCAUCGGAUUGAGGGAAAAGGAUUUAUUCGCUUCAGGAUGGACUCGCGUCCAAUUAGCUAGUUGGUGAGGUAACGGCCCACCAAGGCGACGAUUGGUAGCCGGACUGAGAGGUUGAACGGCCACAUUGGGACUGAGACACGGCCCAGACUCCUACGGGAGGCAGCAGUGGGGGAUAUUGCACAAUGGGGGAAACCCUGAUGCAGCGACGCCGCGUGGAGGAAGAAGGUUUUCGGAUUGUAAACUCCUGUCGUUAGGGACGAUAAUGACGGUACCUAACAAGAAAGCACCGGCUAACUACGUGCCAGCAGCCGCGGUAAAACGUAGGGUGCAAGCGUUGUCCGGAAUUACUGGGUGUAAAGGGAGCGCAGGCGGACCGGCAAGUUGGAAGUGAAAACUAUGGGCUCAACCCAUAAAUUGCUUUCAAAACUGCUGGCCUUGAGUAGUGCAGAGGUAGGUGGAAUUCCCGGUGUAGCGGUGGAAUGCGUAGAUAUCGGGAGGAACACCAGUGGCGAAGGCGACCUACUGGGCACCAACUGACGCUGAGGCUAGAAAGCAUGGGUAGCAAACAGGAUUAGAUACCCUGGUAGUCCAUGCCGUANACGAUGAUUACUAGGUGUNGGAGGAUUGACCCCUUCAGUGCCGCAGUUAACACAAUAAGUA
rnacentral:rRNA from 1 species